CGGACGGGUGAGUAACACGUGGGUAACCUACCUAUAAGACUGGGACAACUUCGGGAAACCGGAGCUAAUACCGGAUAAGAUAUCGAACCGCAUGGUUCGAUAGUGGAAGAUGGUUUUGCUAUCACUUAUAGAUGGACCCGCGCCGUAUUAGCUAGUUGGUGAGGUAACGGCUCACCAAGGCAACGAUACGUAGCCGACCUGAGAGGGUGAUCGGCCACACUGGAACUGAGACACAGUCCAG
rnacentral:rRNA from 1 species